rnacentral:rRNA from 1 species
UACGAAGGGGGCGAGCGUUGCCCGGAUUUACUGGGCGUAAAGCGCGCGUAGGCGGUCUCAUAAGUCUGGUGUGAAAUCUCACGGCUCAACCGGGAGGCUGCACUGGAUACUGUGAGACUGGAGGGUAGGAGAGGAGAUCGGAAUUCCUGGUGUAGCGGUGGAAUGCGUUGAUAUCAGGAGGAACACCAAUGGCGAAGGCAGAUCUCUGGCCUAUCUCUGACGCUGAGGUGCGAAAGCCAGGGGAGCGAAAGGG